ACCCGUUUCAGUCUUACUGACAGGUUUCAAGUCAACCUGCGGCUUCCAUCCCCGUUCCUCUCUUCUCUCGUCGGGCAUGACCAUGCACUUCUUCUAGACCAUUCUACAAACAGCUAACACACUCUCUCUCUCCCUCUCCCUCUAGUGUCUGCCCACAACGCCAUGGAACAACCCCCGCCACCACCCUGAAACACCACCCACCACCAUAAGCUAGCUCCAGUACUCCCAUAACAAGAAGGCCUGCAUUCACUCCUUCCACUAAACUCUCGAAGAUCCCUCACUCCCAUCCAUUCGGAUUCUCACUUUGUCUCUUCAAAUGGCUUCCACAAGCUCAACCCCCAUCGAACCUUCCGCUCUUGCUCUGCCCGACGACAUGGCCUCAAAGGCCUUGAACAAGCGCUACGAAGGCCUCGUCACCGUGCGAACUAAGGCCAUCAAGGGAAAAGGAGCCUGGUACUGGACCCAUUUAGAGCCUAUUCUCCUUCACAACCCCGACACGAACCUCCCCAAAGCAGUCAAACUAAAGUGCUCCUUGUGCGACACCCUUUUCUCCGCAUCCAACCCCUCCAGAACCGCUUCGGAGCACUUGAAAAAGGGUGCUUGCCCCAAUUUCAUCUCCGUUUCCCGACCCAACAGUGCAUCUCUAUCGCCGUUACCGAUAUCCUCGGUGCCGUCUCCGUUACCAUCUUCACAUAAUCAUAGAAAGCGAAGCUCCCAAAUGGGUAUUCAUCCUUUACAUUCAUGUUCAUCUUCUUCGUACCAGGCUAAUUCUCUAGCUUUGGUCGAGUCGUCGCGGUUUUAUAACAACCAAAACCACGACGGAUCGCAUUACUCCCCAUGCCAGAACCCGGUUGGCGAGGCGACUAACUCCGGGCCCCAUUUGGUUUUAUCGGGCGGGAAAGAGGAUUUGGGUGCAUUGGCAUUGCUGGAAGAUAGUGUAAAAAAGCUUAAGAGUCCUAAAGGGUCAGCUGGUCCUGCUUUGAGCAAGGACCAGAUUGAUUCCGCGCUUCAAUUACUAGCAGAAUGGUUCUACGAGUCAUGUGGUUCUGUCUCAGCUUCGAGCCUCGCGCACCCCAAAUUUAGAGCGUUUAUUCACCAGGUGGGCUUGCCUGGGUUAUUGCUGCGGGAGCUCACGGGUGCUCGGCUUGAUGCUAAGUUUGAUGAGGUGAAGACUCGUUCGGAUGCUAGGAUAAGAGACGCAAUGUUUCUUCAGGUUGCUAGUGAUGGGUGGAAGGGAAAGAGUUGUUGUGGAUUUACUUGCGAUGGAGAAAAUUUGGUUACAUUUACGGUUAAUCUUCCAAAUGGGACAAGUGAUUUUCAAAAGGCGGUGUUCACUGGAGGAAUGGUGUCGGCGAAGUAUGCGGAGGAAAUCUUGUGGGAAGCGGUGACAGGUGUUUGUGGGAGUAGUGUGCAGAGAUGUGUAGGGAUAGUUGCAGAUAAGUAUAAGGCCAAGGCAUUGAAGAACUUGGAGGCUCAGAAUCAUUGGAUGAUAAAUCUCUCUUGUCAGCUUCAGGGGUUUGUAAGUUUGAUUAAGGAUUUUAACAAAGAACUUCCACUUUUCAGGACUGUCACCGAGAAUUGCAUAAAGGUUGCGAAUUUCGUAAAUACUACUUCUCAAGUUAGGAAUAGUUUCCUCAAGUACAAGAUGCAAGAACUUGAGUGUGCUGGGUUGCUACGAGUUCCUUCGCCAAAAUGUGACACUUCAAAGAAGUUUGGACCGGUUUAUGCAAUGUUCGAAGAUAUACUGAGCUGUUCCCAGGUGCUCCAAAUGGUUGUAGUGGAUGAUCUGAAUAAAGCAACAUAUCAGGAGGAUUCAAUUGCGAGGGGAGUUGCUGGGUUGAUUCAAACCGAGGGGUUUUGGAAUGAGUUGGAGGCAGUAUAUUCGCUUGUGAAGCUGAUCAGAGAGAUGGCUCAGGAGAUUGCAGCUGACAGGCCAUUGAUUGGACAAUGCCUAACUCUUUGGGAGGAGUUGAGGGGGAAAGUAAAGGACUGGUGUGUCAAAUUCAGCAUUGCCGAGGGGCCUGUAGAAAAAAUAAUUGAAAAGCGAUUCAGGAAAAACUACCACCCAGCAUGGUCGGCUGCAUUUAUACUGGACCCUCUUUACUUGAUGAGGGACACGAGUGGAAAAUACCUUCCACCAUUCAAGUGCUUGACGCAUGAGCAGGAGAAGGACGUCGAUAAGCUCAUAACAAGGUUGGUUUCCAGGGAAGAAGCUCAUGUUGCAUUGAUGGAGCUCAUGAAAUGGAGGUCAGAAGGUCUAGACCCUCUCUAUGCUCAAGCAGUUCAGGUAAAACAGCGAGACCCUGUUUCUGGGAAGAUGAAAAUUGCAAACCCACAGAGCAGUAGACUUGUAUGGGAAACUUGCUUAAGUGAGUUCAAGUCUCUGGGUAAGGUUGCAGUGAGGCUCCUCUUCCUUCAUGCAACUUCUUGCGCAUUCAAGGGUAAUUGGUCUUCCAUGAAAUGGGUUUGCGGCCAAAGACACUCAAGGAUCGGCAUGGAAAGGGCUCAAAAGAUGAUAUUCAUUGCAGCUCAUGCAAAGCUUGAAAGACGGGAUUUUUCAAAUGAGGAAGAAAAGGAUGCGGAGCUGUUUGCGGUGGCAGGCAGUGACGAUGACGUGCUCAAUGAGAGUAAUUUGUUUGGCUUGCCAUGAUUGCUAAAAAAUGUAUUGAGCAAAGUGGAAGCAAGGAUAGCUGUUGGUAUGAGGAGGCACAUAAGAUGGCUGAAAGGGAUAUUGUAACAAACCUGAAUUUUGCAUGUUCAUUUUGGUGAAUAGUGUUGACUAAAAACAGCAGGUUGGUGGUUCUAGAGCUGCUGAUAUCAUUUUCUUCAUACGAUGUUUCGGUUGUAGUGUACCUUUGUCUUCCCCCCUUCCCUAUGUCAACUAAAAGGAAGAAAAAGAGGAGAGAAAGAUGCAUACUGCAAGAUUGAUCAUUAUUUUAAAUAAAAUUGUGGUUAUAUUAAGACUACAAAAAAGCUAAGUAAUGAGAAACAAAAUGCUAGGCAAAAUGAUAUACAAGUGUUUUGGUUGGUCAUAUUUUAACGUCCUGUGGCAGGGAUGCAAUGCUCUGAAAGUUUGGGAAUGUUAUAACACUCAAUUUCAUACCUUCGGAUGGUAAUCUCAGUAGAGUUUUCAGGAAACUCUAUCCUGCCGUUUCUUCUUAUUAUGGGAACUCCAUCAAAGCAGUUUGACUCUCUCUCUCUCUCUCUCUCUCUCUCUCUCACACACACACAUACACGCACGCAUGCUGUGUGCUUUAAAUUUUUUAUCCUCCCACCUUCUUGAGCAGUAAAGGGUAAGUAUACCAAGUGGGUGGCGAAUAAAAAGUGAAACAACAGUUUCUCCCCCACCUUUUUAAUGGUUAGUUGCAGCAAGGGUAGUGUAGAAUGAAUGUAUUUUGCUUCGCUACUCAAUUUAGUGAAGAGACAGCGGAUCCUGUCGGCAAGGCUGAGCAAUGCUGACUGCUCACCAACUAGAAAGAAAAGCUCUUUCACUCGUAUGGUGAAAAUGAGCAGAAAUUUUUGUCCACUUUUCCUUAAUGCCAUACUUGAAGGAAUAACUUCAGGAGGGUCUUCAGCAAUUCUUCAAGUCUCGCAUGUGCUCGAAGAUACUCGAUCUUAAUAGCAGUAAGACUUUAUGUGCAAGUAUGGAAGACCCAGAUCAAGCGUAACAAUAAUGAGCUUUCAAUACUUUUGCAGCAGUCAGAUCAGAAAUCCUUAAGAAUAUGCUAGACUUCCAUGGAAGCGAAGUAUCGUUUAAUAGUACUGUUGCAUCGCAUGAGUGGAACCCCAAAGAGCUCGAGCCCCUCCUCUAGUUAUCUCUAUACGAAGCUUCCCAGGAGAGAUCUCUACCUUAAACCAUGUGAUGCCUCUUUAGAAAAAACAAAUAAAUAGUUUGGCUACUGAUGUUCUGAUUAUGUAGAUAAUGGUUUAUUUUACUAAGGUCUCAUCUAGACCUACUUUUGUUCCA